rnacentral:rRNA from 1 species
AGAGUUUGAUCCUGGCUCAGAACGAACGCUGGCGGCGUGCUUAACACAUGCAAGUCGCGUGCGCAGUUUCCGUAGCAAUACGGGGAUGGGCGCACGGCGCACGGGUGCGUAACACGUGGGCAAUCUGCCCUCCGAUGGGGAAUAUCCCCGCGAAAGCGGGACUAAUUCCGCAUAACAUUCCUUGGAUUAACUUUCGAGGAUUCAAAGCAGCAAUGCGUCGGAGGAGGAGCCCGCGCCCGAUUAGCUAGUUGGUGAGGUAACGGCUCACCAAGGCAAUGAUCGGUAGCUGGUCUGAGAGGAUGGCCAGCCACACUGGAACUGAGACACGGUCCAGACUCCUACGGGAGGCAGCAGUGGGGAAUCUUGCACAAUGGGCGAAAGCCUGAUGCAGCGACGCCGCGUGGGGGAUGAAGCUUUUCGGAGUGUAAACCCCUUUCGACUGGGACGAAUGCCUCGCAAGAGGAGUGACGGUACCAGUAUAAGAAGCCCCGGCUAACUACGUGCCAGCAGCCGCGGUAAGACGUAGGGGGCCAGCGUUGUUCGGAAUUACUGGGUGUAAAGGGUUCGUAGGCGGUGUGGCAAGUCGGGAGUGAAAUCUCUGGGCUCAACCCAGAGACUGCUUCCGAAACUGCUGUGCUUGAGUGUGAGAGAGGCUCGUGGAAUUGCAGGUGUAGCGGUGAAAUGCGUAGAUAUCUGCAGGAACACCCGUGGCGAAAGCGGCGAGCUGGAUCACUACUGACGCUGAGGAACGAAAGCUAGGGGAGCAAACAGGAUUAGAUACCCUAGUAGUCC